GGAGAAUUGGCCGCUGCAAGCCAGGAGGAGCCCAUGGGAGACUGGGGUGGGAGGGAUCCGGGCGGCAGGACUUUCCAGUUCGCCGCCCAGGAGGAGGAGCGCUAGUGGCGGCCGGGGUUUUCUCCGGGUCUGCUACUGAUACGUCCCUGAAGGUUGAGUGGGGAAUAGGGACAGGCUGAUGAAAAUUACAACCUAGAUGCCAUGUGGCACCAAGCAACUAGCUGCAAAACUGGGAUUGUUAUGUGUUUUGCCAAUACUUCAGAAUAAGAAGGACUGAAGUUGUUUUGGCUUCAAAAAGAGACAAGACCCGACUCAAGUCAGAAAUCCUGUGGCUUUUGCUAUAUAAUGCUAAGUUUUGUCCUCCCAACCAAGCAAUACAUGAUGAUGAAUACAUGAACCACUGGGAUGAAGAAGUCCAAGCUUUCAGAAAUGGAUCUGGCAAACCCGCUCACUUAUGAGAAAAAUAAAUAUCCAGGGAGCUUUUGCACAUGUCAACAGAACCGAAUGAAGCAAUCCAUGUAGGCAGCAUUGGAAACAGUGACAAAGAAGGAGGAGGAGGAGGAAAGAAAGAAAGAAACAGAAAAACAAAAGCAGUUCCUUGCCAAUGGGUUGCAGUCUAACAAUCUGGACCAUGGGUUUGGCCACCAUUGCUGUCACUGUGGUUCCCCUUCUGGCUCCUUUAAUGGGGUAUAGCUAUUAUAGAACACUGAGCUGCUCUAUACACAAGUGAUCAUUGUCUGAGAUGUAAAUUACACCCUUUUCAAAAUAAACUACAGUGGUGAGAGACAGCAUGUAUGAUGAUAACAGACUUCGUCCACAAGAUCUUCCUUUCAGGGACUGACAGAGAUGAAGUUUAAAAUGUGUUUUCAUUGCCUAAAUGUGGGGAAGCCAAAACAAAUACAAGGAAUUUACUACUACUGUAUCACCUGUAGGCUCAACUAUACUGAAAGACAGAAACAUUUUAAUUUCUGGAGUUGGCAGAAAGAGAAUGACUAGUCUCAGUUGUAUUCGUUGUUCAGGUAGCAUCAGUGCCCUAUGUGAAUAUAAUGGACCUUCAGAUUUCCUUGCUUUUUGCAGUUCAGUUGAAGUUGUCACAUUCACAACUAUCCCUGUAAAGUAUAUUCAGUAUAAGAAAAGUGAAAAUACUGCUUUAGCAUUGCCAGGUGUAAUAAAGAGGCAGACACGAGUGCUUGGGUUUAAAACAAGCCACAACUUUGACAAAGUCAAAUAAUUGUGGCUUAUUUUAAUUGGGAUAAAAGAAUAAAUUAACUAUUGUUCUGUGCUUCAUUACAUAACAAGAGUGGCCUAUGCUUAUACUUUGGAGAAUGUCCACUUACUUCAUUGUAUGACAGCUGCAUUGUGGUUGUCUUAAAAAAAUAUUUUAAUCAUAUAACCAUGAUAACAAUCGUGAUUAGGAUCAUAGGCAAAUAGUGGGUUACACAUGCAAUAACAGGGCAUGCAACUACUUGCAUGGACUCGGGAUAUAAAAACCUCUACGACUUAUGUCCAAGAACAGCACUGUGGGGUAGCUUAGCCCAAGAUAAUAAUGCACUGCUCAUGUGAUUCCCUUCCACUCCUUGAUUAUCCCCAACAGCAAUCCUGUGAAGUAGCUUUACACUGCUCAGCCAAAAGGUUUGUCAACCAUUCUCCACCAACCAGGUGUAAUUGUCUCCAUCUCCUCCAUGGCUGCAGUUCUUCAGUUGGCCCUAGUUCUGUUGGCCCUAGUGAGCAUGUUUCUCCCCCUCUCUUCAUCUAUCUAAAGGUCAGAAUUGUUUAUCUCAGUGUGUAUGUACACGCAUGCGUGCACACACGCACACACUGAGAAAGGAAUAAAAGUACAUGACUCCGCCUCAAUCCACUCCAGUUGGCUAAGCUGUGAGAUUUCUCUUCCCCCGUCUCUUGCCUCACUAUCAUUCAAUAGAAUGUUUUUGCCUGGUUGUAACUGGGUACAUGUGAAUCUGACAUUACUAUAGAACCUAAUGAGAGUGAUUUUCUGAAUAUGCAGAAAUUCAAAACAUUUAUUUUGACAUGCCCAUGAAAGGUCAUCAAGGCUGGUUGGCUGGUGCAAAAUAAAGUCUUACUUCCUAGUGACCUAACAGACACCAAAUUUUGCAUACACUAACUAUCCUGUCACUGAAGUUAGCUGAAUG